rnacentral:rRNA from 1 species
GAUGAACGCUGGCGGCGUGCCUAAUACAUGCAAGUCGAGCAAACAGACGAGGAGCUUGCUCCUCUGACGUUAGCGGCGGACGGGUGAGUAACACGUGGAUAACCUACCUAUAAGACUGGGAUAACUUCGGGAAACCGGAGCUAAUACCGGAUAAUAUAUUGAACCGCAUGGUUCAAUAGUGAAAGACGGUUUUGCUGUCACUUAUAGAUGGAUCCGCGCCGCAUUAGCUAGUUGGUAAGGUGACGGCUUACCAAGGCGACGAUGCGUAGCCGACCUGAGAGGGUGAUCGGCCACACUGGAACUGAGACACGGUCCAGACUCCUACGGGAGGCAGCAGUAGGGAAUCUUCCGCAAUGGGCGAAAGCCUGACGGAGCAACGCCGCGUGAGUGAUGAAGGUCUUCGGAUCGUAAAACUCUGUUAUUAGGGAAGAACAAAUGUGUAAGUAACUAUGCACGUCUUGACGGUACCUAAUCAGAAAGCCACGGCUAACUACGUG